UCCUACGGGAGGCAGCAGUGGGGAAUAUUGCACAAUGGGCGCAAGCCUGAUGCAGCCAUGCCGCGUGUAUGAAGAAGGCCUUCGGGUUGUAAAGUACUUUCAGCGGGGAGGAAGGUGUUGAGGUUAAUAACCUCAGCAAUUGACGUUACUCGCAGAAGAGCACCGGCUAACUCCGUGCCAGCAGCCGCGGUAAUAG
rnacentral:rRNA from 1 species